rnacentral:rRNA from 1 species
AACAGGAUUAGAUACCCUGGUAGUCCACGCCGUAAACGAUGAGUGCUAAGUGUUAGGGGGUUUCCGCCCUUUAGUGCUGGAGCAAACGCAUUAAGCACUCCGCCUGGGGAGUACGGUCGCAAGACUGAAACUCAAAGGAAUUGACGGGGACCCGCACAAGCGGUGGAGCAUGUGGUUUAAUUCGAAGCUACGCGAAGAACCUUACCAGGUCUUGACAUCCCACUGACCGGUGUAGAGAUACACCUUUCCCUUCGGGGACAGUGGUGACAGGUGGUGCAUGGUUGUCGUCAGCUCGUGUCGUGAGAUGUUGGGUUAAGUCCCGUAACGAGCGCAACCCUUGAUCUUAGUUGCCAGCAUUAAGUUGGGCACUCUAAGGUGACUGCCGGUGAUAAACCGGAGGAAGGUGGGGAUGACGUCAAAUCAUCAUGCCCCUUAUGACCUGGGCUACACACGUGCUACAAUGGACGGUACAGAGGGUUGCGAACCCGCGAGGGGGAGCUAAUCCCAUAAAACCGUUCUCAGUUCGGAUUGCAGGCUGCAACUCGCCUGCAUGAAGCCGGAAUCGCUAGUAAUCGUGGAUCAGCAUGCCACGGUGAAUACGUUCCCGGGUCUUGUACACACCGCCCGUCACACCACGAAAGUUUGUAACACCCGAAGUCGGUGAGGUAACCCUUUUGGGAGCCAGCCGCCGAAGGUGGGACAGAUGAUUGGGGUGAAGUCGUAACAAGGUAACC